rnacentral:lncRNA from 1 species
AUUUUUUCUCUCUAAUCUUCGCCCCACAAAUGGAAGAAAAGGAAAUGAAAGUCAAAUCCUAUGGUCUUCUUCUGCCAUGACUAGAAAGCAUUGAAGACCUCCACCCCCCAGUUGACACAUGUGCAGCUGGGCUGGAGGAGCCAGAUCCAAGAGCAAAGCUAUCAGCUGUGCAUACUACCAGCUUUUCACAGAGGGGAACUGCAAAGGAAUUUCUAAAGGCCAUCUUAAAGGAAACUUGCCAAUCUGGAACCUGCCAGAAGAAUCCAACACACAUCUGACUUCUUUCCCAUCUAAAGAGAUCCAGCGUGGGCCUGAGAACCUGCCUGCCUCUUUAGCUGCUGAUGGUGUUGCUCCAGCUGUGACGCUUUGAGAACAACUGCCCAGAGCAAUGAAGAUAUUCAGAUAAAAGAAUUUUGCUCCUACAAAUUACUUGGGAUAAUUAUGGUCUCAAAUCCCC